AAGAUCUGGAGUGCAGCAGUAUUUGCAUCAAUGUCACAUGUAGAAUGAUUCUAUAGGGUGUGAAGAGAGACCAGAAUGCAUGAUAUUAUACACAAGCACGAGAAAUAUGCCACGAUUAACAGCGGAAGAGAGGGAAAGAGCCACUGGGUUGUAGAUGGGGUCGACAUACAAUGCUGUUGCCAACGCCCUCGGAUGCAACCAUAUCACGGUUACAAGACUUAAUCAGCGCUACAGACAGACUGGG